rnacentral:lncRNA from 1 species
GAUCUAUUCAAUUAUAUCUCAUUAGAACUGCAUACUAAAUUAACUAUGAUUAGAACUAUAUACCAAAUUAACUAUGAUUAAUAUUUGUAUUGAUGUUGAAAUCUGGUCGAACUGUGUUACGACCAGAUGACCAUAGCAACACUUGAAUUUGUUUAGGGGAAAUGGACCCUGCUUGCACCCCUUUUGCUUCAAUACUUAAAUUCUUUCGAUGAUGAGCACCUCUUAACAAGUUCACCUGCGUUCACAACAAACAUAGUUAGACGAGACGCCGGAUGUUUUUCUGGUGUGACCCCUCCAACCCUUAAGUCAAUUUCUA